GUCGGCGCUACGACAGUUGAAAGUUGUUGUGCAGUAGCAGUUUGGCGAAGGUGAAAGAGGCAGAGAGGAAGAGGAAGAGAAAGUGGAACCCCCCCGAAAGACUUUGACGGUCUCCCUCCCUGACUCUGGUCCUGCAAGAGGAAGACAAGUGCUUCCUCGCUGUGGGGAUUGUGUGAUUCCCUAUACUAUUGGCCUGUCAUGGCUGCUCUCCAACAGGCCUCCUGUGUCUGGAUUAAUCUCCCUGGUUGACUGCUGAUUUGAAGUGAGGCACUGCAUGCAGAGCUGGAUGAUGCAGAGCAGAGGAUCCUGUUGCAUGUCAAUGAACUGGGCUAAACAUGCAUGACAAGUGAUGCUGUGUGAAUGGAGGAAGCUAAGAGGGAGUCAACCCCACGGUCAGAGAGAGACCUGUGUGUAAUCUGCAGAAGAUGCAUGCAAUACACCGACACACUACUUUAUCUGCAAGGCCCCUAAUUGAGAGGGAUGCUGGCGAACACAUGUUGGGAAAAGAGGAGAGGAAAGAGGGUGUCAGAUGUCAGCAAUGUGCAGGCAUAUGGUUCCUUCAAGUUCGGUUACAUAAACUGAAAA